UAGUAGCGGCGAGUGAGCGGCAAAAGCUCAAAUUUGAAAUCUGGCGCCUUCGGUGUCCGAGUUGUAAUUUGAAGAUUGUAACCUUGGGGUUGGCUCUUGUCUAUGUUUCUUGGAACAGGACGUCACAGAGGGUGAGAAUCCCGUGCGAUGAGAUGCCCAAUUCUAUGUAAGGUGCUUUCGAAGAGUCGAGUUGUUUGGGAAUGCAGCUCUAAGUGGGUGGUAAAUUCCAUCUAAAGCUAAAUAUUGGCGAGAGACCGAUAGCGAACAAGUACAGUGAUGGAAAGAUGAAAAGAACUUUGAAAAGAGAGUGAAAAAGUACGUGAAAUUGUUGAAAGGGAAGGGUUUGAGAUCAGACUCGAUAUUUUGUGAGCCUUGCCUUCGUGGCGGGGUGACCCGCAGCUUAUCGGGCCAGCAUCGGUUUGGGCGGUAGGAUAAUGGCGUAGGAAUGUGACUUUACUUCGGUGAAGUGUUAUAGCCUGCGUUGAUGCUGCCUGCCUAGACCGAGGACUGCGAUUUUAUCAAGGAUGCUGGCAUAAUGAUCCCAAACCGCCCGUCUUGAAACACGGACCAAAA
rnacentral:rRNA from 1 species